rnacentral:rRNA from 1 species
UACGUAGGGUGCAAGCGUUGUCCGGAAUUAUUGGGCGUAAAGGGCUCGUAGGCGGUCCAUCGCGUCGGGAGUGAAAAGCUGGGGCUUAACCCCAGUCCUGCUUCCGAUACGGGCAGACUAGAGGUAUGCAGGGGAGAACGGAAUUCCUGGUGUAGCGGUGGAAUGCGCAGAUAUCAGGAGGAACACCGGUGGCGAAGGCGGUUCUCUGGGCAUUACCUGACGCUGAGGAGCGAAAGUGUGGGGAGCGAACAGG